GAGUAGAUGUUACAGACAGGAAGAGGGCUACACCUAGAUUACAAGACUAGGCCUUUACGACUACAUGGAAGGCCUCUUGAAAAGACCACACCCUUUGAUCACAUGCUUGUUUGGAAGGCAUGAGGUAACUGGAAUGCCAAUAGUCUAGGGAGCUGAUACAUGAAGAAGUGGGAGCGAAGAUCCUUGAACCUUGAUGCUGUAAUCCUAGCGGUUUCAGAGAUGAAUGUCGAUCCUGGUGAGGGAGGUCUGAGCAAAGAACUGCAUGGACCUUGAGGAUGUCGAUUCGGGAAGACCCCUACAUGGAGACCGUGGAGUAGACAACUACUCUAGGCGUGGUUACCCAGCAAUGCAUUGUUGGGCCUCGAAAACAUGUUGUUUAGGGUGUGUUUGGUUUGAUAAGUGGGAUGUAAUGUCAUUUUCCAUUCCACAAGUGUCGUGAUCCGCAGGUGGAGAA